rnacentral:rRNA from 1 species
AACGAACGCUGGCGGCGUGCCUAACACAUGCAAGUCGAGCGCGAAUGGAGCAAUCCUAGUAGCGCGGCGCACGGGUGCGUAACACGUGGGUAAUCUGCCUGGGAGACCGGGAUAACCUGCCGAAAGGCUGGCUAAUACCGGAUAAGCCCACGGACUCUUCGGAGUCUGAGGGAAAAGGUGGCCUCUGUAUACAAGCUAUCACUUCUAGAUGAGCCCGCGGCCCAUCAGCUAGUUGGCGGGGUAAAGGCCCACCAAGGCAACGACGGGUAGCUGGUCUGAGAGGACGAUCAGCCACACUGGAACUGAGACACGGUCCAGACUCCUACGGGAGGCAGCAGUGGGGAAUUUUGCACAAUGGGCGAAAGCCCUGAUGCAGCAACGCCGCGUGUGUGAUGAAGGUCUUCGGAUCGUAAAGCACUUUCG